rnacentral:misc_RNA from 1 species
UUAGGGAGACCUACCCAACUUGAAGUGAAGUAAAUAAUCAGAAGCAUCUUCGGAUGAAUUUGAUUCAACAAGUCACAUGAAGAUGGUCAUUCCUAGGUCGUUCGAGGAAAAAAAUUCAUAUCAUCUAUCAAGCUAUUAACGGUAUCGGAAAAAAACAACCGAAAUUAGCCGAGACCAAGUCCAGCACCUAGAUCCGCAAGCAGUUAAACUGCCAGUGGAAGAGAAUGCUGGGUGAAAAACUCAGUAAAGAACCAUGAAAACUGCAUAGAGAAGCGAAAAAAGGUAGUACGAAUCAGCUAAUAGACAGAUUGAGUGUCCAUUAGCGGAAUCAGAAACAGACA